AGAGUUUGAUCCUGGCUCAGGAUGAACGCUGACAGAAUGCUUAACACAUGCAAGUCUACUUGAUCCUUCGGGUGAAGGUGGCGGACGGGUGAGUAACGCGUAAAGAACUUGCCUUACAGACUGGGACAACAUUUGGAAACGAAUGCUAAUACCGGAUAUUAUGAUUGGGUCGCAUGAUCUGGUUAUGAAAGCUAUAUGCGCUGUGAGAGAGCUUUGCGUCCCAUUAGUUAGUUGGUGAGGUAACGGCUCACCAAGACGAUGAUGGGUAGCCGGCCUGAGAGGGUGAACGGCCACAAGGGGACUGAGACACGGCCCUUACUCCUACGGGAGGCAGCAGUGGGGAAUAUUGGACAAUGGACCAAAAGUCUGAUCCAGCAAUUCUGUGUGCACGAUGAAGUUUUUCGGAAUGUAAAGUGCUUUCAGUUGGGAAGAAGUCAGUGACGGUACCAACAGAAGAAGCGACGGCUAAAUACGUGCCAGCAGCCGCGGUAAUACGUAUGUCGCAAGCGUUAUCCGGAUUUAUUGGGCGUAAAGCGCGUCUAGGCGGCUUAGUAAGUCUGAUGUGAAAAUGCGGGGCUCAACCCCGUAUUGCGUUGGAAACUGCUAAACUAGAGUACUGGAGAGGUAGGCGGAACUACAAGUGUAGAGGUGAAAUUCGUAGAUAUUUGUAGGAAUGCCGAUGGGGAAGCCAGCCUACUGGACAGAUACUGACGCUAAAGCGCGAAAGCGUGGGUAGCAAACAGGAUUAGAUACCCUGGUAGUCCACGCCGUAAACGAUGAUUACUAGGUGUUGGUGGGUACGACCCAUCGGUGCCGCAGCAAACGCAAUAAGUAAUCCACCUGGGGAGUACGUUCGCAAGAAUGAAACUCAAAGGAAUUGACGGGGACCCGCACAAGCGGUGGAGCAUGUGGUUUAAUUCGAAGCAACGCGAAGAACCUUA
rnacentral:rRNA from 2 species